rnacentral:tRNA from 1 species
UGCCGGGUCGUCUAAUGGCAGGACGCCAGACUCUGGAUCUGGUAGUGGUGGUUCGAGUCCACCCCCGGCAGCCA